UUCCACAUUUGCACCUGGUGUUUUCUUUGUUACAGAUCACAACAUUCAGUGUUUGAAUUUUGUCUUUUCUAGCUUAAGAGAAGAAUGUUGAGGGCAAGUUUAGUAAUUUCUGACUUUUCUCACAUUUUUGAAAGAGGCACUUGCAUUAGAAAGUAAAAAAUCUUUACGCUUUCCAGAAAUAAUCCCUUUGAGGAAACAUCUCAGAAAUAACGUUUAAACGUAUCUUUGUGUAAUGUGCAUAUACUAAGAAAAAAUACCUCUUUAAGUAGAUUAGGGCUGCUUUUAAUAAUUGAAGUGUGUGAUCACAUUUCAAACUCAGUUCUUCAUCUUGAUCUUCAGAUAUUUAACAGAAUAUUUGGGUCAGAUGGUCAACAACUGCACAUAUUUCUUUUUUCUUCUUUGACUUAAGUGAAGGGAGUAACAAGAGAGUUUUCUCUGCAGGAGAAAGAGUUGGGGGUGGGGUGGGGAGUCAACAAAUAUGUCCCACCACCUGUUUCUAUAAAGUUUUAUUGGAACAUAUCCAUGCCCAUUUCGUAACUUGUUGACUGUGCAUACAGCCUAUGCUCACUUUCAUGCUAAAACAGCUGAAUUGAGUAGUUGCAACAGAGAUAUGACUUUCAAAGCCUAACAUAAUUGCUGCCUGGUCCUGUAUAAAAACAAUUGUGGAUCCCUGACAUUUGACUAUAACCAAUACUAGUUGGGAAGGCCAGUGGAAAGGCAUGUGGCCACAUGGAGGAGGCUAAAAUAAAAGUGUUUGAUAAAUAAUCCAGAGGAUGGCUACUUAGUUCUUAAUUAAUUUGUAGUUACAUAUUUUCUCGAUUUGUACAAUUGCUGAGAUCUGUUACAUUAUUUGUAAAUAAAACUAUCCUCGUUGACAUAUUAUAA
rnacentral:lncRNA from 10 species